rnacentral:misc_RNA from 1 species
AAAACAUCCCUUCUCUCCUUUCACUUUGCUGUGGGCAGAGGAAUAAAGGGAGAGUCUCUUCUUAGACACUUCUUCCUCUUUUAACCAUCUUGCUGAAUUUGCAGGUAGAAAAUAGAGUUAAGACAUGACUACUGCCUGCAAGGGAUUUCUUGAUGAACAAUUUCUCCAGCUUGAGGAACUCCAAGAUGAUGCUAAUCCAAAUUUUGUGGAGGAAGUUGUCACAUUGUACUAUCGGGAUUCAGCUAGACUAAUCCUUAACAUAGAGCAAGCAUUGGAGAGGAAUCCUCUUGAUUUUAACAAGUUAGAUAGCCUUAUGCAUCAAUUCAAGGGAAGCAGCUCAAGCAUUGGAGCCAAAAAGGUGAAAGCUGAGUGCACUCUCUUUAGGGAAUAUUGCAGGGCAGGAAAUGGAGAAGGAUGCAUUAGAACAUUCCAACAACUCAAGAAAGAGUAUGCAACAUUGAAAAAGAAGCUUGAGGCCUAUUUUCAGCUAGCAAGGCAAGUUGGGCCAGCUGAGACUGCAUGUCGCCCCAAGUAAGAAAUCAGUGGCAGAAGGAAGACAUGGCUGGAAUCUAUCUGAAAAUGAUUUUGUAAUUGGACGCCCAAUAAUCUACCCUAAUAUAGAAUGGGUUUUUAUAUUGGGUUUAUUAGGCUAUAGUUUCCGCUUAUUUCGCAGCUUUUAUAGAUAUAAUAAUAAGUGGUUUUCAAAAUCCGUUGAUAAACAAAACUAUGCUCGACUUCGUUAUUGGCCAUUUUCU